rnacentral:rRNA from 1 species
UACGGAGGGAGCUAGCGUUGUUCGGAAUUACUGGGCGUAAAGCGCACGUAGGCGGCUUUGUAAGUUAGAGGUGAAAGCCCGGAGCUCAACCCCGGAAUUGCCUUUAAGACUGCAUCGCUUGAAUCCGGGAGAGGUGAGUGGAAUUUCGAGUGUAGAGGUGAAAUUCGUAGAUAUUCGGAAGAACACCAGUGGCGAAGGCGGCUCACUGGACCGGUAUUGACGCUGAGGUGCGAAAGCGUGGGGAGCAAACAGG